AAAAAAACUCAAUAAGUGUUAAAAACAACUUGUAAGUGAAGUAUUAAAUUUUCAAUCUUAGAGUAAUACAAUAGUAAUAUCCUAUUUGUUAUACGCUGACCGUAGAAAAUAUGGUUAAAAUUGUUAAUUUUGUUCUUGUUAUGAUUAUUAUUUUUUCUCUAUUUUUUGUCACUACAAGCGUGGUGGAAGUUGAAUGUUACCGUGAUGAUGAUUGUAGUGGUUGCCCCUCUACUUUAAUACCUGUGUGUAUUUUGCAAAUGUGUAUGUGUGUUUGAAUGACUUCACAUAUGAAAUUAUGAUCAGAUCCUAUAAGAUUCCCUUAGUUAUGCUAUUGACAUCUUAUAGUUUGUUUGUAUUAGUUAUUUUUUCAAAUUUUAUGGACUAUAGUAUAAAUAAGGUAUAAAUAAUAUUAUGUAAACUAUCUUCUUCUCUCUUAGUUUGGAAGAUAGCACCGUGGCCUUCAAUUUAGGCAUAUGUAUUUACUUUGCAACCUUAUUGUCUAUUAGAAUAUUUUUCAUAUAUGUGUUGAAAAUAGUUUUUGUGUUA